rnacentral:lncRNA from 1 species
AAAAGAGGGCUCAGCUUUGUCAUUCAUCUUCAAAGCCAACACCCACAUCUCUUGGUCCAUAACCUACCCAUCGUAGUGUAAGAGAACUGCCCUGGUUAUCACUCAUCAGAAUGACCGUCCAAGGCACAAAUCAUCCAACAUCGGCGACAAAAUUGAGCAGGCUACAACAGAGGUAAGGGUAGGCUCUAAGGGCAACUCCAACACUGACACCGACUAUUUCAGCUCUGUUUAGUCCCACAAGCCAAGGCUGUCUUGAUUGCCCAAGACAUGAUUGUUUCAUCUAGUCGUCGUCAUCAUCGCCCCUCUUAUUGGUCCAAAAAUGAGGUUGCCUCUGCACACCAAGCAACAUGACCAUGUUACCCCAUUACAUGUGUGCACACAUCCAGCCAUCAAGCUCGGAGCUGCUCAUACCUGGAGUCGACUGACCAACCCCCCCGGUGUGGACGGCACGUCAGACAAAUACCGUACGGUUCCCAGCCAACGCCACACUACCGGACGCAUUAAUCGAGCCACUGCAGGAGGCACAUACAUGGCAGAGAGGCAGUGGAUGAAGAUGUUUGCAUUGUGGCAAAGGCGGCCUUGUCCACCACACCUCCACCCUCCUCCUUCGACAGCUCCGGCCAUGGCGCUCAGGCGAGCUUGUCCUUGACCAGCUGCCGCACGAUGGCCUUAGGGAUUUCCUUCACCUCUGGCUCCGUC